ACGGAAGGCAGCAGUGGGGAAUAUUGGACAAUGGGGGAAACCCUGAUCCAGCGACGCCGCGUGAGUGAAGAAGUAUUUCGGUAUGUAAAGCUCUAUCAGCAAGGAAGAAAAUGACGGUGCCUGACUAAGAAGCCCCGGCUAACUACGUGCCAGCAGCCGCGGUAAUACGUAGGGGGCAAGCGUUAUCCGGAUUUACUGGGUGUAAAGGGAGCGUAGACGGAAUAGCAAGUCUGAAGUGAAAUCAUAGGGCUCAACCCUGUAAUUGCUUUGGAAACUGUUGAUCUUGAGUACCGGAGGGACAGGCGGAAUUCCUGGUGUAGCGGUGAAAUGCGUAGAUAUCAGGAAGAACACCGGUGGCGAAGGCGGCCUGCUGGACGGCAACUGACGUUGAGGCUCGAAAGCGUGGGGAGCAAACAGGAUUAGAUACCCUGGUA
rnacentral:rRNA from 1 species